CUUGGAUAAAAUAAGCAUGAAGUUUAGUGACUCCAAUACGUGGAUCCUCUUCACUGUGUGUCUGAACACUUCCUUCCCUGUCUACUGCUCUGAGGCCCCGCAGUGGAGUUGGGGACGUGUCAGGACACUUACUGCCCCAGGGUGUCCAACAUCACAGUGCAUGCAUGGAAGCAAUGAAGAAGGUUCAGUCAUCCAAGUGUGGUGAGGGAGGAGACCCAUGGAUCCCCCAGCUUAAGGGCUUGGUUCUAACGACUAUCUCUAUAGCUAUGCCAGAAAAGAAAGAAGAAAACUAUUGAGGAAUUUAUAAUGCUGUAGGAAUGUUCUUCACUAUGGAAGCAUUUCUCUUAAAAACUGGAGAAACAGGUGCCUGACAUUUAAGAAUUUCCUUCCUACUUGAAGAAGAAACAUCCCACAGCUGAGUAAUUUGGAAACGAGCAAGAUAUGCAACAUUCUGUAUGUUCUAGCAGCCAAAGUAAAGCAAGCAUUAGAGAGCUCAAGAUGUGUAGAGCAGCUAAAAGAUCUGUACUGUAUGAGGAAUAACAAGACCUGCCAUAGUGGGAAUGUACAGGACAUUUUGCAUCGCAAUGUUACUGUGGGUGUUCUAUAAGGAUGUGUCUGCUGCCACCUACUGUUAUUGUAAAAUAUUGCAAGGCUGGAGUAGAAACUGUUAGGUAAUGAUUCAACAAUGUGUAGGGCUGCUAUAUAUAUUUUGUAUGUUUACUGUAAAUUAAACAACAACAACAACAAUUCAUAUAAUACAAUAGAAAAUGAAGCAUUAUGAAGCUACAGAAUACUUCACACUUGUCUAGUUCAUUCUUCUGUUGGACCUGUUUAGCUAUGAUGGGAUGACUCAGGGUGUCUUGAGUGAAGCCACAUAUGGCCGACAGAA